rnacentral:lncRNA from 1 species
GUUUUCCUCUUUUUUUAAUCUCUAUCUUAAUUGUUUUCUCACAGAUUUGAUGCUUUGAUUUCUCCCAAAAUCCAGAAACUAACAUGAAGAUUAUUUCUGUUAGCAGGAUGGAGAUAAUCCUGCUCUUUACUCAUGAUUUUAGAAAAUAGUAUGCCCUAUUUUCAUUUACUAUAAAUAAUUCUUGUUUUUUUCUCUGUACGUUCAUAAGUUUCACCAGUUUCUGAUCGAUGGACAUUACUUGAAGCGGACACUAGGGGGCAGCAUUUGGCAGAGAAACUGAGCUCAGAUCUUCUUCAUGAUGAAAUCUGUUCAGUUUUCUGUCAGGAAUCGUCUCAUCCGGGAUGCUCUUCACGUCACUCUGAGAAUGGUUUGUGUUGAUGACCUGACAGGAACAGAAGUGGGUCGUUGGUGAAGCUCCUGAAGAUCUCAGGAAAGCUGAACUUUUAAGGUUUUUCUAAAACGGGUCUGCAGCUUCAGUAGGAGCCAGAACGUCUUCCUUAGAUAAGGAAAUAAGUAAAAAAGACACUGAUUUAUAUUUAUACUAGUAUUUUGCAUGAAUUAAACGAAAACAUUUAAAAGAAAAUAGCCUUUUAUUUAACUUUGACUAAAGUUCCUUUCAAAAUAAAAGACAUAUGAUCAUCUCAGAGCAGCAGACGUGGUUAUAGUGAAUGUAAUGUCAGCAGUGAUUCAAUGAAAAUAGUUCAUUUCACUGUUGUUGAUAAAUAUCUGUCAGAAAUGUAAAUCUAACAAACCAAAAUAAAAUCCGUGCUAAAAUAAUG